rnacentral:rRNA from 1 species
AUUGAACGCUGGCGGCAGGCCAAACACAUGCAAGUCGAACGGUAACAGGAAGAAGCUUGCUUCUUUGCUGACGAGUGGCGGACGGGUGAGUCAUGUCUGGGAAACUGCCUGAUGGAGGGGGAUAACUACUGGAAACGGUAGCUAAUACCGCAUAACGUCGCAAGACCAAAGAGGGGGACCUUCGGGCCUCUUGCCAUCGGAUGUGCCCAGAUGGGAUUAGCUAGUAGGUGGGGUAACGGCCCACCUAGGCGACGAUCCCUAGCUGGUCUGAGAGGAUGACCAGCCACACUGGAACUGAGACACGGUCCAGACUCCUACGGGAGGCAGCAGUGGGGAAUAUUGCACAAUGGGCGCAAGCCUGAUGCAGCCAUGCCGCGUGUAUGAAGAAGGCCUUCGGGUUGUAAAGUACUUUCAGCGGGGAGGAAGGGAGUAAAGUUAAUACCUUUGCUCAUUGACGUUACCCGCAGAAGAAGCACCGGCUAACUCCGUG